rnacentral:rRNA from 1 species
UGAUCCUGCCGGAGGCCACUGCUAUGGGGGUCCGACUAAGCCAUGCGAGUCAUGGGGCGCGCUCUGCGCGCACCGGCGGACGGCUCAGUAACACGUCGGUAACCUACCCUCGGGAGGGGGAUAACCCCGGGAAACUGGGGCUAAUCCCCCAUAGGCCUGAGGUACUGGAAGGUCCUCAGGCCGAAAGGGUCUCUGACCGCCCGAGGAUGGGCCGGCGGCCGAUUAGGUAGUUGGUGGGGUAACGGCCCACCAAGCCGAAGAUCGGUACGGGCCAUGAGAGUGGGAGCCCGGAGAUGGACACUGAGACACGGGUCCAGGCCCUACGGGGCGCAGCAGGCGCGAAACCUCCGCAAUGCGGGCAACCGCGACGGGGGGACCCCCAGUGCCGUGGCAUCGCCACGGCUUUUCCGGAGUGUAAAGAGCUCCGGGAAUAAGGGCUGGGCAAGGCCGGUGGCAGCCGCCGCGGUAAUACCGGCGGCCCGAGUGGUGGCCGCUAUUAUUGGGCCUAAAGCGUCCGUAGCCGGGCCCGUAAGUCCCUGGCGAAAUCCCACGGCUCAACCGUGGGGCUUGCUGGGGAUACUGCGGGCCUUGGGACCGGGAGAGGCGGAGGGUACUCCUGGGGUAGGGGUGAAAUCCUAUAAUCCCAGGAGGACCGCCAGUGGCGAAGGCGCUCCGCUGGAACGGGUCCGACGGUGAGGGACGAAGGCCAGGGGAGCGAACCGGAUUAGAUACCCGGGUAGUCCUGGCUGUAAAGGAUGCGGGCUAGGUGUCGGGCGAGCUUCGAGCUCGCCCGGUGCCGAAGGGAAGCCGUUAAGCCCGCCGCCUGGGGAGUACGGCCGCAAGGCUGAAACUUAAAGGAAUUGGCGGGGGAGCACUACAAGGGGUGGAGCGUGCGGUUUAAUUGGAUUCAACGCCGGGAACCUCACCGGGGGCGACGGCAGGAUGAAGGCCAGGCUGAAGGUCUUGCCGGACACGCCGAGAGGAGGUGCAUGGCCGCCGUCAGCUCGUACCGUGAGGCGUCCACUUAAGUGUGGUAACGAGCGAGACCCGCGCCCCCAGUUGCCAGUCCUCCCCGCUGGGGAGGAGGCACUCUGGGGGGACCGCCGGCGAUAAGCCGGAGGAAGGAGCGGGCGACGGUAGGUCAGUAUGCCCCGAAACCCCCGGGCUACACGCGCGCUACAAUGGGCGGGACAAUGGGAUCCGACCCCGAAAGGGGAAGGGAAUCCCCUAAACCCGCCCCCAGUUCGGAUCGCGGGCUGCAACUCGCCCGCGUGAAGCUGGAAUCCCUAGUACCCGCGUGUCAUCAUCGCGCGGCGAAUACGUCCC